UACGUAGGGUGCAAGCGUUGUCCGGAAUUAUUGGGCGUAAAGAGCUUGUAGGCGGUUUGUCGCGUCUGCUGUGAAAUUUCGGGGCUCAACCCCGAACUUGCAGUGGGUACGGGCAGACUAGAGUGUGGUAGGGGAGACUAGAAUUCCUGGUGUAGCGGUGAAAUGCGCAGAUAUCAGGAGGAACACCGAUGGCGAAGGCAGGUCUCUGGGCCACUACUGACGCUGAGAAGCGAAAGCAUGGGGAGCGAACAGG
rnacentral:rRNA from 1 species